UCCCAUAUGGUCUAGCGUUAGAGGAUUCCUGGUUUUCACCCAGGCGGCCCGGUUCAACUCCAGUAUUGGGA
rnacentral:tRNA from 1 species